rnacentral:pre_miRNA from 1 species
AUGUGUUGAUAGUAUUCAGCACCAAGGACGGGUAUGUUUGCCUAUGUGUUGAAAGUGUUCAGCACCAAGGACGGGUAUGUUUACCA